ACCUGGCUGGCUCAGUUGGUAUAGAGCACGCGACUCUUGAUCUUGGGGUCGUGAGUUCGAGCCCCACGUUGGGGA
rnacentral:tRNA from 1 species